rnacentral:rRNA from 1 species
UACAUGGGGUGCAAACGUUGCUCGGAAUUAUUGGGCGUAAAGCGCACGUAGGCGGUUCGUUAAGUCGGAUGUGAAAGCCCUCGGCUCAACUGAGGAAGUGCACCCGAAACUGGCGAGCUUGAGUACGAAAGAGGGUCGCGGAAUUCCCGGUGUAGCGGUGGAAUGCGCAGAUAUCAGGAGGAACACCGAUGGCGAAGGCAGAUCUCUGGGCCGUAACUGACGCUGAGGAGCGAAAGCGUGGGGAGCGAACAGG